GUGGAUUAGAUACCCUGGUAGUCCUAGCUGUAAACGUUGGGCACUAGGUGUGGCGGAUUGAUUGACGUCUGCCGUGCCGUAGCAAACGCAUUAAGUGCCCCGCCUGGGGAGUACGGUCGCAAGGCUAGAACUCAAAGGAAUUGACGGGGCCCCGCACAAGCGGCGGAGCAUGCGGCUCAAUUCGAUGAAACCCGAAGAACCUCACCUGGACUUGACAUUACGGGAAAAGCCGUGGAAACACGGUGUGCGUAAGCGUCCGUAACAGGUGGUGCACGGCCGUCGACAGCU
rnacentral:rRNA from 1 species